rnacentral:rRNA from 1 species
AGCGAACGCUGGCGGUAGGCCUAACACAUGCAAGUCGAACGGCAGAACAGUAUGCGCUUGCCCUUACGGGUGGCGAGUGGCGGGCGGGUGAGGCAUACAUCGGCAUCUACUUUUUGGUGGGGGACAUCGUAGGGAAACUUACGCUAAUACCGCAUAAGAUUUAACGGUGAAAGCAGGGGAUAUUCGGACAUUGCCCUCUCGAAUGAGUCGAUGUCGGAUUGGCUAGUUGGCGGGGGAAAGGCCCACUAAGGAAACCAUCAGUAGCUGGCCUGAGAGGAUGAUCAGCCACACUGGAACGGGGACACGGUCCAGACUCCUACGGAAGGCGGCAUUGGGGAAUAUUGGACAAUGGGCGCAGGCCUGAUCCAGCCAUACCGCGGGGGUGAAGAAGGUCUUCGGGUUGUAAAGCCCGUUUGUUGGGAAAGAAAAGCAGCAGGUUAAUACCCCGCUGUACUGACGGUACCCAAAGAAUAAGCACCGGCUAACUUCGUG